rnacentral:rRNA from 1 species
UGGGGAAUUUUGGACAGUGGGCGAAAGCCUGAUCCAGCAAUGCCGCGUGUGUGAAGAAGGCCUUCGGGUUGUAAAGCACUUUUGUCCGGAAAGAAAUCCUUGGCUCUAAUACAGUCGGGGGAUGACGGUACCGGAAGAAUAAGCACCGGCUAACUACGUGCCAGCAGCCGCGGUAAUACGUAGGGUGCAAGCGUUAAUCGGAAUUACUGGGCGUAAAGCGUGCGCAGGCGGUUUGCUAAGACCGAUGUGAAAUCCCCGGGCUCAACCUGGGAACUGCAUUGGUGACUGGCAGGCUAGAGUAUGGCAGAGGGGGGUAGAAUUCCACGUGUAGCAGUGAAAUGCGUAGAGAUGUGGAGGAAUACCGAUGGCGAAGGCAGCCCCCUGGGCCAAUACUGACGCUCAUGCACGAAAGCGUGGGGAGCAAACAGGAUUAGAUACCCUGGUAGUCCACGCCCUAAAACGAUGUCAACUAGUUGUUGGGGAUUCAUUUCCUUAGUAACGUAGCUAACGCGUGAAGUUGACCGCCUGGGGAGUACGGUCGCAAGAUUAAAACUCAAAUGAAUUGACGGGGUCAUAGCUGUUUCCU